rnacentral:rRNA from 1 species
AAUUGGAGGGCAAGUCUGGUGCCAGCAGCCGCGGUAAUUCCAGCUCCAAUAGCGUAUAUUAAAGUUGUUGCAGUUAAAAAGCUCGUAGUUGAAUUUCGGGAUCAAUAUUUCGGUCAUGCCGUUGGUAUGCACUGUUAUCAUUGAUUUCUCACCUUCUAAAGAACCGUAAUGCCAUUAAUUUGGUGUUACGGGGAAUUAGGACUGUUACCUUGAAAAAAUUAGAGUGUUUAAAGCAGGCUCACGCUUGAAUACAUUAGCAUGGAAUAAUGAAAUAGGACAUCCGAUUCUAUUUUGUUGGUUUCUAGGAUCGAUGUAAUGAUUAAUAGGGAUAGUUGGGGGCAUUAGUAUUCAAUUGUCAGAGGUGAAAUUCUUGGAUUUAUUGAAGACUAACUACUGCGAAAGCAUUUGCCAAGGAUGUUUUCAUUAAUCAAGAACGAAAGUUAGGGGAUCGAAGACGGUCAGAUACCGUCGUAGUCUUAACCAUAAACUAUGCCGACUAGGGAUCGGAUGAUGUUAAUUUUUUAAUGACUCAUUCGGCGCCUUACGGGAAACCAAAGUGU